CACUGAAACCAGUCGUUUGCCAAUAAAAUUAAGAUUAAAUUGUCUACUCUUUCGUUCAGUUAAAGCAACACAAAUUUAAUUGCAUAUUUGAAAUACAAGACUAUCAUUAUUACUACAAACAGCUGUAAGAAUUAAACGAAGUUUAGCUCAAAUUGAAUGACAAGAGAUCCUCAAGAGGACUGACGUUUACCAUCAGCACUGACUUUAAGAUAAUACGAUAUCGAUUGCAAUUUAGGAGAAGUAAAGAUAACAAAAAGAAAAGAUAGUAUUAAAAGCAAAUUGACUGAAUAAAACUUGUCCUAAAAUAUAAAUGAAAAGCUUUAAAACAAUCCGUAUGUAAAGUUUAAAGAAAUUGGAAA